rnacentral:lncRNA from 1 species
GCAAAAUAGUAACUGAGAGCUCCCUCAAGGGAAAGCAAGGACACUGAAUGGGUCAGGCUCCAAUUUCAACCCCUUCUUAUGGAGCUCAUCUUACGUUUAUAGACCAACCCAAAUCCCAGCAUGGCUCAGCUGCCAAGUGCAGUUAAUGCUCAGUCCGGCACUCACAUGGAUU